UUUGAGUUUGACGCAUGCUUUUUCAAAGGUCAUAUAAUUUGGAACAGAGGUGGUAUUUGUGGUUCAUAUCCUUUAAAUAACUUAUCCAGACAAAAGAAGUUCAUUCAAAUUGUCUGUUUAACGUUGAAUAGAUUUAGAGUGGAUAAUGAUGUUGAAUUUUGUACUUUAUAUUUAUAGAAUAUAUAUGCUUAUGCAUGUACUUCUAAGACGAAAAUGAUAUGUGCACUGCGAACAAGCUCUGUCAGUACUACCAUCUUCCCACCAGUUCCAUAUAUGAUUCAUCAAUUAAUCGCUUAGCCUUAUCUCCUGUUGGCAGGAAUUCCUUGCUUUGCCAAGGGCGGACGCCAUCCAACUACUCAUUCAGUAUAGCGGAAAUGCAGAGACAGUGAUCCAACAAAUCUUUUCAUAGUGCCUUGUGUAAAAUACCACACAUUUUAUUUUAUUUUAGAAAGCAAACUGUUUCUUCAUACUUUUCCUUCUUUAGCUGUAUUUGGACUAGGCGCCCAUUUCAACCUUGUGUGAUUCUCUUGUUGCUCAUGUAACACUGAAACUUAGGGGCAAAAAAGUCAGCAAGGACCAAAGAAUAAUGGAGAAGUAACAAGUGAUUGAAACCGUGGCGGUUGUGGACUCGUGAUGCGUUCGCCAGUGGUUUAAUCUUUGUUUGGCCUUUUGGUGUAUUCUGUGAUUAUGGAAACAAUGAUCAUAAAAAAACUGACAUGGAUAUACCCUCUGUGUGGAAUCAUGUAACAAGGUGUUGUACUAGAGCAUAAGUAUCAUGUAAUUUUAUUCGUAUGUGGCUGCUUUGUGUGCCAUGUAGAACUUACAUAUGCUAAAUGGUCGUAUCCUGGUGUUCUAUUGGAAUUGAUCAUGUCGACUAUAUCUGUGAGAUAAGUCCACAUUAUGCCCUGAACUUGUUCUGGAGUUCGUAUUACAACCUCGAAACUUCAGUUUUGUUUGAAAAUGCUCCUCAAACUCAUAAAAUCAUCUAAAACACUCUGUAUCCAUGGUUCACUGGUUUUGUCCCAGUGAAUCAUGUCUACGUCGUUGAAUUCCUUGCGUUUCCACUAACGUUUUGGGACUUCCUAUUUUGAAGGAGGAUAACUGUUCUCCUAUCCGCCACCUAAGAGCAUCUACAGGUGGACUUGCCAAAUCUGCCCUCCUAUACGCCUCAAAUUCCCUUCAAAUCUGCCCUCCUAUACGCCUCAAAUUUCCUUAAAUCCAUGCACGUCGAUCAUACGAUAUAAAUUGUCCGAAUUCAACAGUUAAAAACAAAGCAAAGCAAAUCAUAGUUCAACAAACCAUACAUUGGCCGGGCGCCUGCUCCGAGCGGAAUGCGUCCUGCUCCGCCUGCAUCCGGGCUGCCUCCUCCGCCUCCAUCCGGGCCGCAGCCGCCCUCGCCGCCUCGUACUCCCUGCGGUCGUUGAUCUCCUUCUUGUCCGCAAGCUACUUCUUCGCAUGCUCAUCCAAGAGGGUUUCGUCUGCUAACAUAAUCCCUGCAUCCUCCACAUUCCGUGCGAGUUGCAACCUCUCCUUUUCAAGCUCUAUGUUGCCAAAUGUCUUGGCCUUCUUGAGUUCCCAUUUGAUCGCCGCCUCUUGCUUCUCCAACUCGAUCUUCUCCCUCUCAAUUUUGAGCUUUCUCUCCGCCCUCUUCCGGUCCCACUUCAUCCUCUCCUUUUGCGCAUCCAACAUGAGCUUGUACCUCUCCACCUUCUUGUUCUCCCUCGCCGAAAAAAUGCCCGUCCAUGUGGACGACAUUUUUGUAGCCGCGGCGCCAUCGGAGCCAUGUGCCUUCUCCCACUUGUUUCUCAUGACUUGGCGGUUAUCCUUUGGCAUAUGGUGGCUUUUCCAUUCGUGACGGCAACAAUUGAUUGGUUGGAGCUUGAGCCAUCAUUCAUCUUCUUGCUGGACUUGAGAUCGGCCACAAGUUGGUUUCACUUCGGCUUGCCAUUCAAUAUGAUCCAACAAUGGCUAAAAGCAAACGACUUCUUCUCCACCUCGUGAUACAAGUGGCCGCCGCCGCCGUCCAGUAAACAACAUAUGUAUGAGCACGAGAAUUCCAACACAAGAAGCAUAUGCAAAUGUCGACAAGAUGAAGCAAUUGAGCUUACGUGAGUUGCCACUCCCGUCCCACUUUGAGGGCGUUUGGUCACUUGAGAGUAGUAGCCGACGUGCUUGUUCACUUCCCCUUGAAUGAUCCCCCAACAAUGUUGUAGAGAUGCCACAUUGCGGGUGAUCACGAUAGGAUGCGGCUCCACAUACUCCUUCCAAAUUUCUCCCAAUACUUGUUCCCCUUUUGCUCGGUGCCGCAUAUUGGAUCCAUCGUUGUGGCCAACCAAGCUUUGACCAACAAGAUGUCCUUAAAUCUUGAGAGUCCCGGACCUCUUGCCUUCGUCGUCUUGGUCUUCUUCUUCUUGCUCGGAUUGGGAUCGGAUGUUGUCCCAACUUCAAAUGCGGUGGUGGCCUCCAAUUCAUACCCCACUUUGGUCGGAUCUUCAUUGUCAUUGAUCAUGUUUGUCGAACGCCUCCUACAUGAUUAUGGUUUGCAAGCAUUCAUCAUGUGCGAAAUGAACUAGUUGUCUAUGCAUAAAUCUGAUUGGACGGGAGCAAAGAAAGCAUGCCGACUCUUGUUUGGUCAUUCCGUCGAACAUGUCGAGGGCAGCCCGGGCGUUGCCGCUGCCCGUUCUCAUCCGCACCCGAGCGAGCUACAGUGACUCACAUACAUCGACCACCGACAUCUGCAUGGGCGAAAAGCUCUCCGGAAUGGCCCAGCCGGUCGUCGAAUCCUCCUCUGUCCCAACGGGGUCGGACGACGUAAUCCGCGUCGGCGCUCGGAUGGAAGGGGUGCGGGGUUCCGGGCGCGGCGGAGGAGACAACUGCUCCAUCAUGUCCGAACCUCCCUAUGACACCACCGCCGCCUCCCUCUCUCGCUGCCGGCGUCGCCGCAACUUUCGGGCGACGUUCUCCGCCUUGCAAGUUGGAGCUGACGAAGGGACGCCGACGGAUGAGGCGGACUGCAUCUCUGCAGCGGCGGUCUGGGACGGGUUGUACGACAUCUCCAGCGUUGGAUCAGGACUGUUGGUGAGGAUUGAGAGCAAGGGUGGAGGAUGGCGAGGGUUCGGGCGUGGGAAAGGUUGGAUGGGCGGCGGGAGGAGGAGGAAGGGUCUGGUGGAUUUGGUGCAAUUUGCGGCGGGGUCGGGCUGUCGGGUCCAACGUGGCUGGCGUGCCCGGGCGCCCCCAUAUCUGCCCCAUAUUUGUGCUGAAUAUGAGGGGUGCCGGUCAGCCCGGGCGUUUGAGGCCCAUUUAAGGAGCCCGUCUGGGUUGAAAUUUCGCAACAGGACAGUGGUCGGGCGGCCCACCCGGGCGAAUGAGGCGGGUUUGAGGCGCCUUGCUGUAGAUACUCUAAGAUCUCCACGCUACUGCCUAGGUCACCCUCCUUUCCUUGCCCGACAGCCUGGGUGGUGGGCCAGAGGAGUGGGUCACCUCACCUACCUCGACGUGUCCAACCUGAAGCCGUUGAAGGGCUAGUAUUGGUAAUUGUUUCUAGAUAAGUUUCUCCUUGUAUCUUCGUAGUUGGUGUGUCAGUUAAGGGAAGCAUUUGGUUGGCUCUUGGUGCGGUGACUUCAACUUCUUUUAAAAAAAUUGUUUUGUGGCAUGAUUCGGUUUCUCCAACCUUCUGGCCUGACGCUGAAGGAUUGUAAGCCUGCGUUGCCUGGGUGAUGCCCAAAUUGAUGUCUCUUAUGCGAUUACUAGACCUUGGUUCUAGUGACUGAGUGGCUAUUGUUGUAUUCAAAACCUAGUAUGGCGAGGGAAUUUUCACGUGUCUCUUCCCUCUGCCAUUGGUUCAAUUCAAUUUUCAAGCUCCGGUAGGCGACAUACAAUCAUAGGAAAAGACAACUAGUAUAGCUCACAGUGUAGUUCCAUUUUUUACUGGCCAUUUUGUGCCGUUUUGUCUUUUCGGUUGUAUUAGCUUCUAUUUUCUUGAAAAUUACUAGAAAUAAGAUGCCCUUUGGGUGUCUUUCUUAAAACAUGCCACCUCAUCUAUUUUUCUUCCUUUCCACCAACUCAACUUUCUUGUUUGUCUCUUGUCGAUGUGAAUAUCCCGCCCGCCACCCCAAACUGAGCUCCCUGCCUCUUCCAAGCAACCAGGUAGACAUGCGCCGACUACCAGCAUGUAGGACUCGUACGAUACCUAGGUUAACUCUUGCGGCAUUGGCCUCCACCCCUGAGCUACUCGGAUUGCACGCACAUCAGCACAACGUAAGUGGCUUCUUAUGACAUUUAGCUUAUCUAAUUCACCAAGUACUUUUAUGCGUUUGAUGAACCAUGUGCUUAGACAUUUGGUUGGUAAAUUUAUGGUUUACUAUGAUAACAUCCUUGUUUAUAGGAAAUCUCUAGGUGACCAUCUUGCACAUGUUUCUCAAAUUUUGAAACUUGUUUGAAAUGAGAUACUAUAUGAUAAUUUUGAGAAGUGCACAUUUUUGCAUCAAUAAACUUGUGUUCUUGAGUAUUUUGUUUGAUCAAAUGACAUUGAAAUUGAUAAAGUUGAUACUAUUAUAACUUUGCCCUAACCCACUAAUGUGACUCAAGGCAUAGUUUUCUUGGGUUAGUCGGUUUUUAUCGCCUUUUUGUUAAUGAUUUAUAGUACCAUUGCUUCACAUGUGCAUGUGCUUUCGAAGAAAGGUGUGGCUUUUGUUUCGGGUCAAUCACAAGAAAGUGCUUUUCUAGAUCUUAAGGGCAACUUAAUGCUCCAUUACUUGUUUUACCGGAUUUCAACGAAACCUUUGAGAUUGAAUGUGAUGCUACUUCAAACGGUAUUGGCGGUGUUCUUAUGCAAGGGCUUUGACAUAUAGCUUACUUCAGUGAGAAAAUUCUAUGGUGCUCAACUAAUUUAUCUCAUUUAUGUGAAAGAGUUAUAUGCUUUGGUUCAUGUUUGCAAGUUUGGCAUCAUCAAAUUUGACCAUAGGAAUUUGUCAUUUCUUUCCAAUCACGAGCCUUUUAAAUACCUUAAGAGCCAACCAAAACUUAUUUGUAGACAUGCCAAAUUGUGGGAUCGUUUAGUACAAUGUACGAUGGGGGGGGUGAAUAGGCUACAAGCAAUAAAGGAGAUUCUUUUCCAAAUUUUUAUCUUUAUGGGCAAUUUCAAGCUUUUCUAUGGUAGUUUGCAAAGCACCCUACACAUGUAAGUCUAAUAUAGAGUAUAGCGGUGAAAAGUAAAUACUUACAAAAGUAGAGGUCUGAGUAGAGUAAGAGAAAUACAAACAUCGGUUGGCUCGGUGGAUAUUUUUUCAUGUGAUUCAAAUAGUUGGCGCUAUUCUACUCCAUGUUGAUGGAGGUUUCGAACCACAAAGGUGUUCUAAGAUCACGAAGGUCAAGGUCACGAGUUCCACGAAUCAAAUGAAAUCGUAUCAUUCUGUGAUAAACCAAAUGGGCUAGAAAGGAACGCCAAAAUGUUCGAUGGUAUGGCUUCACCAGUGCAAAAGUUGUAUGUUUAGCGGUGGACGAGCACAAGCAAUGGGUGCUUGCUAGUCCGAAGGAGGUAGACAUUAAGAGACAACAUUGACUGUGAUGGGUGGUUGCGGUGUCGAUCCCUUGCUCAUUUCGUGCCCUACCCGUAAGUGUAGGCGUCUAUCGUCGACGGGAACGUCUCCUCCCACUGAAAAAGUAUCGUCGGAAAUCCUGAAAUAAAUUCAGAAAUAAUUGGAGCACCAGAACUUUAACCCUGAUGGGCUGGAGAUACCACUGUCCCUUUAACCAUCCAACCACAGAUUGAUUCGCGCAACAUUGAUUUUGCUUGUUCUUGAAAAGGGCAAAACAACCAAAUGAUAUCGCGUCAUUCUUUAAUAGCUAUAAACUCCAUCCGUAAGUGUGGUAUUCUUCAAAAUCAAAAGAAAAAAAAGCAUAAGUGUAGCAUUGGUCGUGGUCGACCAUCGUCCCGCUCGCAUCACGUGUUGCGCCAGCAGUUCGCUAGAUAAGAUCGCGCGUGAAGACUACCGGACAUAUAGUUUUUCCGUUGUUAAUUCCCGGAUUGCAUGCAGACAUGCAGUGCGUACUCCUCGCUCGUCUGGCGACUCUCUCUCCUUCGACUCAGUAGGUUAGUUAGACCGAGAUCGCGUUCUAGUAACAGACUAAACGGUACUCGCCAUCAUCGGGCAACAACCUUACCUGCUGUAUAUAAGGGCCGAAGGGCUCGCCACCCCAUUCGUUCAUGCGAGCGAGAUUUCCAAUCUAAUCGCUGGUUCUCCGCCCACAACGAACCUAGCCAGAGAUCGUCGGAGAUGGCGACCUUCCGCGUCGCGGACGCGUCGGAGUACCUGGCCAUCACCGGCUGGGGCAUCGACGACGUCAAGCUCGCCAAGAAGGCGUGGGUCUUCGUGGGGCAGCAGUGCAAGAAGUUCAGCAUCUCGCCGGUCAACUACGAGUUCGAGGUGCACGCCAUGAGCGCCGAGAAGCUGCCCUUCAUCCUCCCCGCCGUCUUCACCAUCGGCCCCAAGAUCACCGCCACCGGGGCAGAGGCGUCAGACAAGAGGGACCUUGAGGCGCAGCUCCUCCUCUACGCCAAGCUCAUCGCCCCGCUGCACAGGUCGAGGAGCCACGUCCACGAGCUCGUCAAGGGGAUCAUCGAGGGCGAGACCCGCGUGCUCGCCGCCGACCUCACCAUGGAGGAGAUCUUCAAGGGGACCAAGACCUUCAAAGAGAAGGUCUUCAACAGGGUGCAGCUGGAGCUUAAUCAGUUCGGACUCGUCAUCUACAACGCCAACGUGAAGCAGCUGGUGGAUGUGCCGGGGCACGAGUACUUCUCCUACCUCGGGCAGAAGACGCAGCAGGAUGCCGCGAACCAGGCCAAGGUGGACGUGGACGAGGCCCGGAUGAAGGGAGAGGUGGGCGCCAAGGAGAGGGAGGGCCUGACUCGGCAGAACGCCGCCAAAGUGGAUGCUGAGACCAAGGUGCUGUCGGUGCGGCAGCAGGGUCAGGGGCUCAAGGAGGAGGCCAAGGUGAAGGCCGAGGUGCAGGUGUUCGAGAAUGCAAGGGAGGCCGACAUCGCGGCGGCCAAGGCCGAGCUUGCCAUGAAGAAGGCCGGAUUUGACAAGCAGGCCAAGGUGGCUGAGGUUGAGGCGGCCAAGGCCGUCGCCAUCCGCGAGGCCGAGCUCCAGAUGGAGGUCGAGCGCAAGAACGCCAUGCGCCAGACCGAGAAGCUCAAGGCCGAACAGCUCAGCAAGGCCACAGUGCAGUACGAGACACAGGUAUCUACGUAUGCAUGUGCUUAAACCUUUGAUACGUUUCAUCGAUCUCAUGCAUGCAUGUGUCAAUUUCUGCGUGUAGGUUCAAGAAUCAAACGCGCUGUUCUACAGCAGGCAGAAGGCGGCGGAGGCGGCGCUGUUCGAGCAGAUGAGGACGGCGGAGGCGCGCAAGGCGCAGGCCGACGCGCAGUUCUUCGAGCAGAAGAUGGCCGAGGACGCCAAGCUGUACGCCAAACAGAAGGAGGCGGAGUCCCUGGCCCUGCUGGGCAGGGCCAAGACGGAGUACGCGGCGUCCAUGCUCCAGGCGCUGGGCGGCAACUACUACGCCCUCAGGGACUACCUCAUGAUCGACGGCGGCAUGUACACGGAGAUGGCGAGCAUCAACGCCGGCGCAGUCAACGGCAUGCAGCCCAAGAUCAGCAUCUGGAGCAACGGCGCCGGCGCGGACGGCGCCGCCGCGAAUGCCGGCAAAGAGGCCGCUGGAGGCAGCGCCCUGCAGCAGGUGGCCGGGGUGUACAAGAUGCUGCCGCCGCUUCUGUCAACGGUGCACGAGCAGACUGGGAUGCUGCCGCCGGCGUGGAUGGGCGCGCUGCCCAAGGACGGCGCCGCCAACUGACCGUCGUGGAGUGCGCGUUCCUCGUUUGAUUUGGUGCCAAGACUCUCGUCAGCUUAAGUGUUAAAUUAGGUUGCUUCAGGGCCCGCGUUUUUUCAGGUUUAAAGAACUAUGAAUAUCCCAGAUGUUUGUCUGCUAUCAGUCGUGUUAUGUCUCGAACAUUUUCGUGAAGUAUUGUUAAGAUUUAUUUUUAGCACCUUUGAUAUUACAAGAAACUUUUCAGAGCAGAACAAGUUCUCAUAUUAAAUGUAGGUUACUUGUUAUAUAUAUGUAAUUCCUCUGUUUCAAAAUAAGUGUCUCAACUUUAUCUAAUUUUAAUGUAAAUUUAUACUAAGCUUGAGACAUUUAUUUUAGGAUGGAGGGAGUAUUAAUUUUGACUUCGCAGCAAUUUUUUUUACAUGAUAAUACAUGUCUUAUUUAUAUCAUAAUUAUUAUAGUACAAGUCACCUAACCGAUCUGGCAAAAUAGGAAAGACAACAAAAAAGCUAGUAUUUGCAUAAAGGACAACAAUCAAGAAGUAAAAUUACAAUCAAGAUUGAAGAAACCUCUGAACUUGACACCAAAGCCCGUCACCUGCCUCUGAACCACCACAGCAGUCAUCAAAGGAAAAAAUGACGGAUCACCUUCACACCCGAGCUCGUAACGGCUCCAUCGCUGAUAUGCAGUUUUGCGGACCUCCAAGGUGGCUCACCAAAGGCAAAACCAUUACCGUUAAACGAAUCAGACCGGGGCAACACCCCGGGCACGCCAUCGAACUCCAGAUCUGGCACCCCCACACGACUAGAACGCCGGAGGAGAAAACCACAUCUGCCAUCCACGAACCGCGAACACAGCACACGAUCUACCAUCUUCCAGAUGUCGCCGAUGCAGACCACAAUCUGCAUCCGCUCCUGGACUACCUCCCAAGCUCCGCGCCGGCGCUGGAGCAAACGUUGUCGUAACGGCAGAGCCCGAGGAUACAGGUCCGCCACAAGGAUGUCGCCGCCGCCACGCCAUUUUUACUUGAACAGACUGAUUUCCAAAUCCAUCCCCAACCAUAGGACCGAUCGCCUCGUUGGAGUAGGACCCGAAGAAACUUUAUUCAACGCCGCCAUCGCCGUCGCCGAAACCAAGACAAUGAACGGCCUAAAAAUCCUAAUCUACGAGAGAAAAAACGAUCCACACGCGUGGAUCCGGCGACCCCCUCACCACCGACGACCGAGGCCGCCGGCGGAGGGGAGCCGCUGGACGGCGGCGGCGGGAAAGACUCCUGGGGCGACUUCGCAGCAAUCUUCGGAUUUAUUUUUAGCACACCGUCUAUAUGAAUACACAUGCACCCGUAUUCCCCACUUCACAGAAAAUAGAAUCCCUGGACCUAGCCUGGCCUCAAAUGUUUUCCGUGCGGGCUCAUAAUAGAACUACUCCGUUAAUGAUCCUCUCCCCAAAAUCAACUAGGAAUUAACAAACUGUCAAUAUUACUUGCUUUUGUCCUUGCUUGAAAGUCGGCGCAGAAGAAACAAAACGGGCUACAUGGAGCCCUUUUUUCGAAACAUUCAAAAUCGCUUUUCAAAGUUUCAAAAAAUUCUAAAAGAAAUUCCACAUUGAAAUAUGAAUGUGUACUACAUAUGUAUAAACUUUCACCUAAAAAUACAUUGAUUCGUGAGCUACACAAAAAAAGAGAAAUGCUUCCAAUGUCAGCGAGUUGUCUUUUUUAUGUAGCCCGCCAUGUCAAUGUAUUUCGUCAUUAAUUUUCGCAAGCAUGCAAUAUAUAUCCGUAUGAUACUGUGGAUUAUUUUUCAGAAUUUUGGAAGCACUGAAACACUUUGAAUAUUCCAAAAGAACAAGCUCCAUGUAGCUCAAGCACCAAAGCUAACUUUUGAAAUAUGUUGUCAUACAGCAUGGCAUAGAUAUAUAUUGGCAACUCCAUGUCCAUUUGAAAUACUCACUCCGUCCGGAAAUACUUGUCGGAGAAAUGGAUAAAAAUGGAUGUAUCUAUGAUUAAAAUAUGUCUAGAUACAUCCAUUUCUUCAACAAGUAUUUUCAGACGAAGGGAGUAACAAAUAAGAUGUACUCCCUCCAUUUCAAAUUACUCGUCGCAGAAAUAGAUGUAUCUAGAACUAAAAUACGUCUAGAUACAUCCAUACCUGCGACAAAUAAUUCGGAACGGAGGGAGUAGAAGUCAAGAUGAAUGCUAGCUAGGAUAGCCAAAGGAUCCCAUUUUCCCCUUCCCUGCGCCGCUCGUUCGAGCGGUGGCCCCCGCGCCCAGUCAGGCUAGCACUCCCCUCCCACCCUCGUCCUCAUCGUCGUCGAAGGAAAUUGCCUGGCAAAGCCCCGCGCGGCGGACGACGACGAUGGGACUCUCUCCCUUGCGGUUGGCGAUGCAUAGGUAGGGUUCUGGGCGGGCGCCCGAUCGCGACAGUCACGCAGGUUGGCGGUGACGCGGGCGGCUCUUCUGCUGCAGUGGUCAAAUCCGGGGUGGCGGUGGUGCAAGCCGAUGUGGAGACGACCAUGGAUGUGUUCGCAAGAUCUGGCCUCCUCGGCGAUGAUGGCGCACAGCUCUUCUUCCAUGGGGGGUCUAUCAAGCUAGCAGUUUGUUCUCCCCUCAUCUACAGGCCCGAUCUCGGUUGUUUUGACAGCCAUGGCCGGGAAACGAACAGAGGCAACGCCUGCAGAAACCAUCUCCUCCUUGGAGGCAUCGUCUUGUCCUUGGUUGUACUCCGAUCUGGGAAACCAUAGAUCUGGUCCGCUUGCCAGCGGCGGCGCUGCGGUGUCGUCCCCACCUUGGAGGCGUCGCUUGGGUGCCUAUGGUGUCUGCCAGAGCGGGAGCUGGUGUAGGUUGCUUCGCCUGUCUCAGCUAUGGUGCUUGGGGCCACAUGUUGCUAUGAUAUGGUUGAUGUUGUGGACAUGAGGAUUUGGGCCGUGUUGCUAUGAUAUGGUUGAUGUUGUGGACAUGAGGAUUUGGGCCUCUAUGGGUGGAGGGUGCGUUGAUAGCCUGGUCCAAUUUGGCCGUGCUUCCAAGAUGUCUGGCUAUGGUUUGUGACGCGGUCAUCGUGCUAUGUGUUUUACCUCGUCGCCAUUCAUGGCUUGGGUUUGAACAAGACGAGUGGUGUGUUGUUUGUUGUUGUGGUGGUGUGGUUGAUAACCUCUCGGUUUAGCGUUGUAUGCGGAAAGACUUUGUUCCAGUCAUCUUGGAUCUUAUUCUAUGUUACUGAUGCACCUCUCUAGGGUAUCCUUGAAAAAAUAAGGUAUGCUAGCAAGAAUUUAAGCUUCCCAAAUCGAUGCUUGCUUAAGCUCUAGUUGCAGUGAUACGCAAGCUUUUGCGUAUUCAUGGAAGAAAGAAAAUUAAGCUCCAGUUGCCAAUAGUCCGCAAGCAAAAGAAAAGGAAAUAAGCAUUAGCACGGGAAAAUUCAAAGUUGCUUUAACAUUGCUCCUUGAUUACCUCAAAUUGCCUUGCAUUCUGUCCACUAGGCUAGGCUGACUGGCUGAAGAAGUCAAAACGAUUCAACAGUAGGCAUUGGGGCACUUCGCACAACAAUUAGGCAACUUAACGACAAUAAUCAGUUUGAUAGGCAUUAGUAAUAACACAUUUCAAUCCUGCAAAAAAAAGCAACUUAACCGUCCUUCCAGAAAUUGGGUGCACCAAUGUGACAAUUGAGUGGGAUUGUCUUAGAACUUAUUGAAGCAUGCACUCCUAAUGAGAGUUGGAAGAAAUACUCUUAUUUUCUUUAUUGUUUUGAAUCUAGAUGCAUCUUUUAUGUUGGCUUGUGAUUUGAGGGAUGCUUGGUGUGAAUCUUGUUCAAUUAGUGCGUUUCGUGUGAUUUGCUCCGUGUUGUUUGUGGAAUCCGCCUCCAAUCAUUAGAUCAGAGCUGAUAGUCGAUUUAAUCUCAGAAAGAGUGCCGAUCUGAAGACGACCCACGUGCACUAUCACUACGUGUGGCCGGUGAUACAUUUUGUCAUAUCAAAAUUGGAUUAAAACGGUGUUAUGUAUUUGAUCAUAGGAGAAUCAGGGAAGAUCGCAAGGCCUAGAAACACCCAUAACAGUGUAGUACAAACAUACCUACUCAAUGCAGAGCAGAAAUUGGUCUCAACGACAGAAACAAACAAGAGCGCAACAUAACCAAGCAAACUGGAGCUAAUUCAAUCCUGUGACACCUACCUAAAUUGUAUCGAAUUUCAGAGCAAAGACAAUACAAACAAAAACCCAAUGGUACUAACAAGAAAUAAGAAAAAUUGUACAAGCAACAUACAUACCAACAGUGCAUAAACAGGCGGGCGGGAGUGCGGCCCGGCAGAAGGAGCAGGCAAACCGUGCAGACAACCAACAAAGUGUAUCAUACCGUAACUAUUCAGAUAUUCAACUAUCUUUUUGCAUCCCCUUGAAUCAGGGAGGAGAAACACCACAAAAGUUCAGUACCAACAUCACCGGUUUCUACUCAAUGCACUGCAGAUAUUUCAGGGAUGGGAAACAAGCAAGAGUGCAAUGUAACAAAGCAAACCCACUGUCAUUAAUGCGGAUUUUGCUAAGGAGUUGAACAAGAAAACAAGAUUUUCACAUGAACACAACCAAAUAAACAGCAGAAGACCUACGAACGCCCAGCCUGGCCUACGAGCUACACUCUAAUUGACUGCAGGGCGGAACUAUACUCACAGUGCAGGACUGGUUCCAAUUUCCAAAAGCCAGUUCAAAGAAACUCAUAUCUAGUUCAAUCCUGUAAACCUACCUAAAUUGAAAGACACUAUCAUAGCAUAAUUGCUUUAAACACCAAAAUAUGUGUUUAUCAGAAAAGCAAUAAUCAACGGUUUUAUAUAGCAGCACUAAACAGCAAUAGGAACAAUUGUACAACGCACUAAACCUAUCACAAACCUAGAAGACAUGUACCACUACUGAACGUUAUUGCUAUGUUAUGACAGCAUCAUCGGCCUGCAUAGACCAAUUCGUUGGAAAGUGUUGGACGAACAUGACAGUGAUUACAUAUAUAUAAUUAACAAUAGGUAGAUAGCUCAUAAAUCAAUCGAUCAUCGAGCAACGAGCAUAAACUUCAAAGAUCAACAGUAAUAUAUCGAAUCACUUCAGAUAAACGGUGAGAUAAACAGAUCAUGUCCACCAUACGCAGAUCAAAACACCUCGAACUUAAGCCUUGAGUUCAAAACAUUACUUGCCACAAGUAACAGAUCUAAAAGACAUAAAGCAUAAUAUAGGGGUACGAUGACGAUGCGGAGGAACCUAGGCGCGGUUGCCACCGCGGGGUCCGUUGAAGGGCUGGCGGUAGGGGGCGGCGGCAGAGGUGGUUUCGGGGGCGCGCUCGACGCCGGGGAGGUCAGCCAUGCCGAGGAACGCCAGCAUGUCCAUGGUCUCCUUGUCGACGCGGAUCUCGUCGACCUCGAGCGCCGACUUCUCCGGCACGAAGUCCAUGCGGCGCUCACGCUCCUCCUCCUGCAGCUUGAGGGAGAUGCCGCGCACGGGGCCGCGCUGGAUGCGGCGCAUCAGAUGGGUGGUGAAGCCGGCCACCUUGUUGCGGAGGCGCUUCGACUGGAGGAUGGAGACCUCCUCUAGCACCUUCUUGUUGGUGUGGAAGUCGAGGGUCAUCCGAGAGUAGUACUUCUCGAUGACCUGGCGGGAGGUCUUCUUCACGGUCUUGGUGCGGACGCGACCCAU
rnacentral:lncRNA from 1 species